CCCACUAUGGCUUCUUGUCUU
rnacentral:siRNA from 1 species